rnacentral:rRNA from 1 species
ACGAACGCUGGCGGCGUGCUUAACACAUGCAGGUCGAACGGUGAAGCGCCUUCCUUUUUGGUGGGUGUGGAUGAGUGGCGAACGGGUGAGUAACACGUGAGUAACCUGCCCCCUUCUUCUGGAUAACCGCAUGAAAGUGUGGCUAAUACGGGAUAUUCUGGGUCUGUCGCAUGAUGGGUCUGGGAAAGAUAUUGUUUCGGUGGGGGAUGGGCUCGCGGCCUAUCAGCUUGUUGGUGGGGUGAUGGCCUACCAAGGCGGUGACGGGUAGCCGGCCUGAGAGGGUGGACGGUCACACUGGGACUGAGACACGGCCCAGACUCCUACGGGAGGCAGCAGUGGGGAAUAUUGCACAAUGGGCGCAAGCCUGAUGCAGCGACGCCGCGUGAGGGAUGGAGGCCUUCGGGUUGUGAACCUCUUUCGCCAGUGAAGCAGGCCUGCCUCGUUUGUGGGUGGGUUGACGGUAGCUGGAUAAGAAGCGCCGGCUAACUACGUG